GAUGAACGCUGGCGGCGUGCUUAACACAUGCAAGUCGAACGGAAAGGCCUCUGCUUGCAGGGGUACUCGAGUGGCGAACGGGUGAGUAACACGUGGGUGAUCUGCCCUGCACUUCGGGAUAAGCCUGGGAAACUGGGUCUCAUACCGGAUAGGACAAUGGUUUGGAUGCUGUUGUGGAAAGUUUUUCGGUGUGGGAUGAGCUUGCGGCCUAUAAGCUUGUUGGUGGGGUAAUGGCCUACCAAGGCGUCGACGGGUAGCCGGCCUGAGAGGGUGUACGGCCACAUUGGGACUGAGAUGCGGGGCAGACUCCGACGAGAGGCAGCAGUGGGGGAUAUUGCACAAUGGGCGCGAGGCUGAUGCAGCGACGCCGCGUGGGGGAUGACGGCCUUCGAGUUGUAAACUCCUAUCGCUAGAGACGAAGCGUUUUUGUGACGGUACCUGGAGAAGAAGCACCGGCUAACUACGUG
rnacentral:rRNA from 1 species